UUGGAUAUAGCUCAACGGUAGAGCACAGGACUUGGAAUCCUGGAGUUACGGGUUCAAAUCCCGUUAUCCCAA
rnacentral:tRNA from 1 species